GGGAGAGGGACCCACAGACCACCAGAUAUCAUCAUUCCACUAAAGACAUUCCAUCUCACUUAGAGAUAUGAGUUGGCUGAAGGAGGCCUAUUCCCUCACAGAUCAAUCAGCCUGUCCUGUGAGCAGUAGCGGGCUCAGGCACAAUGCGCUCUGUGUGGAUCUGGACUUACAACGGAGAGUUCAAACCUGCUCUAGAACCGGGUUUUCGAUGACGAAGAUGCUGCAGCUGUCCAAGAAGCCAUCACUACAUUUUUCCUCGGCAUUUUUGUGGUCAGCAAAGCCAGGGAUGGUCUCCCCGAGCAAGCUGGAAUAGCCAUUGUGAGAGCAGAAGUCCUUUUUGGUAUCCCAGAUGGCACAUGCCUGCACCUAUCUGAUGGGCCUUUUCUAUGCCUUGGAACUAAGGUACCCUAAUUUACUGAAAUACACAUUUAAGGUCUUUCAGAAGAUCUUUCUAGAGCUGAAGGCUGCGAACAAAAAAAUGUCCUCCAAAGUCCAUGAACUCAUGGUCUUUUUGCAUUCUUAAAAGCCAUGCAGAUGCCGUUGAAGGUUUAGGAUUUCAGUGAGCUCACUCUUAUCAAGUUUUACGGUUAGUUUUACACUUCACAUUCUGAGGUUCUCCCAAUGCACUCCCAGGUUACCCUACUCGUGUUUCUUAUUCUAUGAUGCUGGAAAAUAUUUUAUUCGAUUGAAUUUGAUGAUACUAACGCAUGCUUUAUUUUGUCAUGUAUUAUGAAUUCUAUCUGUUCCCUGCACUGUAAAUGGCAGACAUAAUUCAGCUCCAACUCAAGUAAAGCAUUUAAAGUAACCUGAACUCCAUUUUUCAAGCAGCUUUUCAAGAACUGCCACAAGAGGCCGAGAAACCAUGCAGAAAUGGAAAUUUCUUUGCUACAUUUUUAAAUUUUGAGAGCUGCUGGAUUUUGGUUUGUCGUUUUGCCUUAUCAAUGUAUAUGAAUGUAGCUGUGAAUUUGAAUUUAGCUGUUUUGAUUAGCUAGGAUAUAUUUUGUUAUGGUGUUCUGACCGCUAAGAAAGACAGUGGGGUUCCGAUAGUAUGUCUUGUGCUGACGGCAAUUAUCCCUUCAGUGUUCAUGACUCUGUGGAAUGGAG
rnacentral:lncRNA from 1 species